CAUGGUGUAGCUAAUGCUGCUACACAUGGAGGAGGACAUGGUUAUCCACCUGGGGCAUACCCUCCACAACAUGGGUAUCCUCCACAACAAGGAUACCCUCCACAACAAGGUUAUCCACCAUCUGGGUAUCCUCCACAACAAGGAUACCCUCCACAAGGCUACCCACCUGCUGGUUAUCCUGCUUCAUCUGGUCAUAAUGCUCAAGGUGUGUAUCCUUUCAAAUUGUUAUGUUAUGCCUUGGUUACUGAUUGUUACAAUUAUCUGAUAAAUUGAAUUCUUAAUUAUGUUGUAGUUUUAAAAUUUGUGAAGAUGCAUACUCGGAAGCAUAUAAAUUAACUAUAGUGGAAUAGCAGUGUCUUUUAAAAGUUACAUAAUCCACCCACCAAACUGAAAUAGCUGUGAAAUCACACACAAUCAUACUGAGAUAUAAAUGCUGGGAAUUCAGGUGUAAGUGGUAGAAAUUCUCCUGUUUGUUAAAUAGGAAUGGACUAAAUGAAGAUUAUACA
rnacentral:lncRNA from 1 species